rnacentral:lncRNA from 1 species
UCCGCCGGGGCCAGCAUUUGGGCCUAUUUUCAUUCGGGUCUUCGGCCCAUUUGAGUCACCUGCACCUGUCCUAUACUAACAUAAAGAAAUUUUUUUUUUCUUUUUUUUCUUUGGGCCUUAGGCCCAAUUUUUCACCUGUCAUAAAUUCUAAUAAAAUAAUAAACAUAAUGACUAAAUAGGCUUAGGCCCAAUAAUAACAAAAUACAAUUUUUUUGCAUAAAGAGUGGGCCUUUGGCCCAAUCUUUUCAAUUCUCCUCUGCUUUCACAUUUUUUCAACUUCGGGACCUGUACGUCAAUUUUCAAUGGUCGGUUGACUCGAUAAAGGAGUUUGAGCCUUCAUGGUUCUCCCGAAAUGCAAAGGGGAGGCGAUAGGAGUUCAUAAUGAACUCGGACAGAUUUCACAUGCG